rnacentral:siRNA from 1 species
UCCGUUUUCUUUAGAGAGGCUUCU